UAUUCGUGAAUCAUCGAUCUUUGAACGCACAUUGCGCCCUUUGUAUUCCGGAGGGCAUGCCUGUUGAGCGUCGUUUCUCCCUCAAACCGCUGGGUUUGUGUUGAGCAAUACGACUUGGGUUUGCUUGAAAGACGGUAGUGGUAAGGCGGAUCGCUUUGACAAUGGCUUAGGUCUAACCAAAAACAUUGCUUGCGGCGGUAACGUCUACCACGUAUAUCUUCAAACUUUGACCUCAAAUCAGGUAGGACUACCCGCUGAACUUAAGCAUAUCAAUAAGCCGGAGGAAAAGAAACCAACAGGGAUUGCCUCAGUAGCGGCGAGUGAAGCGGCAAAAGCUCAAAUUUGAAAUCUGGCGUCUUUGGCGUCCGAGUUGUAAUUUGAAGAAGGUAUCUUUGGGCCCGGCUCUUGUCUAUGUUCCUUGGAACAGGACGUCACAGAGGGUGAGAAUCCCGUGCGAUGAGAUGACCCGGGUCUGUGUAAAGUUCCUUCGACGAGUCGAGUUGUUUGGGAAUGCAGCUCUAAGUGGGUGGUAAAUUCCAUCUAAAGCUAAAUAUUGGCGAGAGACCGAUAGCGAACAAGUACAGUGAUGGAAAGAUGAAAAGAACUUUGAAAAGAGAGUGAAAAAGUACGUGAAAUUGUUGAAAGGGAAGGGCUUGAGAUCAGACUUGGUAUUUUGCAUGCUGCUCUCUCGGGGGCGGCCGCUGCGGUUUACCGGGCCAGCAUCGGUUUGGAGCGGCAGGAUAAUGGCGGAGGAAUGUGGCACGGCUUCUGCUGUGUGUUAUAGCCUCUGACGAUACUGCCAGCCUAGACCGAGGACUGCGGUUUUUACCUUAGGAUGUUGGCAUAAUAUCUUAAAGUCGCCCGUCUUGAAACACGGACCAAGGAGUCUAACGUCUAUGCGAGUGUUUGGGUGUAAAACCCGUACGCGUAAUGAAAGUGAACGAAGGUGGGGGCCCAUUAAGGUGCACCAUCGACCGAUCCUGAUGUGUUCGGAUGGAUUUGAAUUAAAACCUAACUGUUGGGACCCGAAAGAUGGUGAACUAUGCCUGAAUAGGGUGAACCCAAAGGAACUCUGGGUGGAGGCUCGUAACGGUUCUGACGUGCAAAUCGAUCGUCAAUUUGGGUAUAAGGGCGAAAAACUAAUCGAACCAUCUAAUAACUGGUUCCUGC
rnacentral:rRNA from 1 species